UACGUAGGGGGCAAGCGUUGUCCGGAUUUAUUGGGCGUAAAGAGCGUGUAGGCGGCCAGGUAGGUCUGCUGUGAAAACUCGAGGCUCAACCGGGGAACUGCGUCUGAUACUGGGUGGCUUGAAUUCGGGAGAGGGAUGCGGAAUUCCAGGUGUAGCGGUGAAAUGCGUAGAUAUCUGGAGGAACACCGGUGGCAGAAGGCGGCAUCCUGGACCGAGAUUGACGCUGAGGCGCGAAAGCCAGGGGAGCAAACGGG
rnacentral:rRNA from 1 species